rnacentral:rRNA from 1 species
CGACAGGCUUAACACAUGCAAGUCGAGGGGCAGCACAGGUAGCAAUACCGGGUGGCGACCGGCGCACGGGUGAGUAACGCGUAUGCAACUUGCCUAUCAGAGGGGGAUAACCCGGCGAAAGUCGGACUAAUACCGCAUGAAGCAGGGGCCCCGCAUGGGGAUAUUUGCUAAAGAUUCAUCGCUGAUAGAUAGGCAUGCGUUCCAUUAGGCAGUUGGCGGGGUAACGGCCCACCAAACCGACGAUGGAUAGGGGUUCUGAGAGGAAGGUCCCCCACAUUGGUACUGAGACACGGACCAAACUCCUACGGGAGGCAGCAGUGAGGAAUAUUGGUCAAUGGCCGAGAGGCUGAACCAGCCAAGUCGCGUGAGGGAUGAAGGUUCUAUGGAUCGUAAACCUCUUUUAUAAGGGAAUAAAGUGCGGGACGUGUCCCGUUUUGUAUGUACCUUAUGAAUAAGGAUCGGCUAACUCCGUGCCAGCAGCCGCGGUAAUACGGAGGAUCCGAGCGUCAUCCGGAUUUAUUGGGUUUAAAGGGUGCGUAGGCGGCCUUUUAAGUCAGCGGUGAAAGUCUGUGGCUCAACCAUAGAAUUGCCGUUGAAACUGGGGGGCUUGAGUAUGUUUGAGGCAGGCGGAAUGCGUGGUGUAGCGGUGAAAUGCAUAGAUAUCACGCAGAACCCCGAUUGCGAAGGCAGCCUGCCAAGCCAUUACUGACGCUGAUGCACGAAAGCGUGGGGAUCAAACAGGAUUAGAUACCCUGGUAGUCCACGCAGUAAACGAUGAUCACUAGCUGUUUGCGAUACACUGUAAGCGGCACAGCGAAAGCGUUAAGUGAUCCACCUGGGGAGUACGCCGGCAACGGUGAAACUCAAAGGAAUUGACGGGGGCCCGCACAAGCGGAGGAACAUGUGGUUUAAUUCGAUGAUACGCGAGGAACCUUACCCGGGUUUGAACGCAUUCGGACCGAGGUGGAAACACCUUUUCUAGCAAUAGCCGUUUGCGAGGUGCUGCAUGGUUGUCGUCAGCUCGUGCCGUGAGGUGUCGGCUUAAGUGCCAUAACGAGCGCAACCCUUGCCACUAGUUACUAACAGGUUAGGCUGAGGACUCUGGUGGGACUGCCAGCGUAAGCUGCGAGGAAGGCGGGGAUGACGUCAAAUCAGCACGGCCCUUACAUCCGGGGCGACACACGUGUUACAAUGGCGUGGACAAAGGGAUGCCACCUGGCGACAGGGAGCGAAUCCCCAAACCACGUCUCAGUUCGGAUCGGAGUCUGCAACCCGACUCCGUGAAGCUGGAUUCGCUAGUAAUCGCGCAUCAGCCAUGGCGCGGUGAAUACGUUCCCGGGCCUUGUACACACCGCCCGUCAAGCCAUGGGAGCCGGGGGUACCUGAAGUCCGUAACCGAAAGGAUCGGCCUAGGGUAAAACUGGUGACUGGG